AUGGCAAUGACUGCUUUGGUAGCUAAAACUGGAGCGACAGAGAGAAGAUUAACAUGGGCUCCGCACGAGGAUGACAUGCAAAUUUGUGAAGUGUUCCAUAUUUUU